GGCGGGGUAGCUCAGUGGUUAGAGCACGCGGUUCAUACCCGCGUUGUCGGGGGUUCAAAUCCCUCCCCCGCUACCA
rnacentral:tRNA from 1 species